rnacentral:sRNA from 1 species
GUUUCAGGGUCUUCUC